UACGAAGGGGGCCAGCGUUGUUCGGAAUUACUGGGCUUAAAGGGCGCGUAGGCGGGCCAUCAAGUCAGGGGUGAAAUCCUGCCGCUCAACGGCAGAACAGCUUUUGAUACUGGUGGCCUGGAGGGGGGUAGGGCAUGUGGAACUUCCGGUGGAGCGGUGAAAUGCGUAGAUAUCGGAAGGAACGCCGGUGGCGAAAGCGACGUGCUGGACCCUUUCUGACGCUGAGGCGCGAAAGCCAGGGGAGCAAACGGG
rnacentral:rRNA from 1 species